rnacentral:rRNA from 1 species
UGGGGAAUUUUGGACAAUGGGCGAAAGCCUGAUCCAGCAAUGCCGCGUGUGUGAAGAAGGCCUUCGGGUUGUAAAGCACUUUUGUCCGGAAAGAAAUCCUUGGCUCUAAUACAGUCGGGGGAUGACGGUACCGGAAGAAUAAGCACCGGCUAACUACGUGCCAGCAGCCGCGGUAAUACGUAGGGUGCAAGCGUUAAUCGGAAUUACUGGGCGUAAAGCGUGCGCAGGCGGUUUGCUAAGACCGAUGUGAAAUCCCCGGGCUCAACCUGGGAACUGCAUUGGUGACUGGCAGGCUAGAGUAUGGCAGAGGGGGGUAGAAUUCCACGUGUAGCAGUGAAAUGCGUAGAGAUGUGGAGGAAUACCGAUGGUGAAGGCAGCCCCCUGGGCCAAUACUGACGCUCAUGCACGAAAGCGUGGGGGAGCAAACAGGAUUAGAUACCCUGGUAGUCCACGCCCUAAACGAUGUCAACUAGUUGUUGGGGGAUUCAUUUCCUUAGUAACGUAGCUAACGCGUGAAGUUGACCGCCUGGGGAGUACGGUCGCAAGAUUAAAACUCAAAUGAAUUGACGGGGUCAUA